CAGCCGCCGCGGUAAUACGUAGGUGGCAAGCGUUGUCCGGAAUUAUUGGGCGUAAAGGGCUCGCAGGCGGUUUCUUAAGUCUGAUGUGAAAGCCCCCGGCUCAACCGGGGAGGGUCAUUGGAAACUGGGAAACUUGAGUGCAGAAGAGGAGAGUGGAAUUCCGCGUGUAGCGGUGAAAUGCGUAGAGAUGUGGAGGAACACCAGUGGCGAAGGCGACUCUCUGGUCUGUAACUGACGCUGAGGAGCGAAAGCGUGGGGAGCGAACAGGAUUAGAUACCCCAGUAGUCCCUGUCUCUUAUAC
rnacentral:rRNA from 1 species